rnacentral:rRNA from 1 species
AUACGUAGGGGGCAAGCGUUAUCCGGAUUCAUUGGGCGUAAAGCGCGCGUAGGCGGCUUGUUAAGUCAGAUGUGAAAACCGGGGGCUCAACCCGCGGCCUGCAUCUGAAACUGGCAGGCUUGAGUCUGGUAGAGGAAAGUGGAAUUCCUGGUGUAGCGGUGAAAUGCGCAGAUAUCAGGAGGAACACCAGUGGCGAAGGCGGCUUUCUGGGCCACGACUGACGCUGAGGCGCGAAAGCUAGGGGAGCGAACAGGAUUAGAUACCCUGGUAGUCCUAGCCGUAAACGAUGGGCACUAGGUGUGGGAGGUCAUCGACUCCUUCCGUGCCGAAGCUAACGCAUUAAGUGCCCCGCCUGGGGAGUACGGCCGCAAGGCUAAA